AUAGUACUCCCUCCGUCCCAAAAUAAGUGACUCAAGUUUGUACUAACUUUGUACUAAGCCUAGUACAAAGUUGAGUCACUUAUUUUGGGACGGAGGGAGUAAUAG
rnacentral:pre_miRNA from 1 species